rnacentral:rRNA from 1 species
UACGUAGGGACCAAGCGUUGUUCGGAUUUACUGGGCGUAAAGCGCGUGUAGGCGGCUUGGCAAGUCGGAUGUGAAAGCCCACGGCUCAACCGUGGAAGCGCAUCCGAAACGGCCUCGCUCGAGUCUCGGAGAGGAAGGUGGAAUGCUUGGUGUAGAGGUGAAAUUCGUAGAUAUCAAGCAGAACACCUGCGGCGAAGGCGGCCUUCUGGACGAUGACUGACGCUGAGACGCGAAAGCGUGGGGAGCAAACAGG